rfam:Triticum aestivum genome assembly, contig: Triticum_aestivum_CS42_TGACv1_scaffold_569221_7AS
CAACUACUCCCUCUAUCCCAAAUUUCUUGUCUUAGAUUUGUCUAGAUACAGAUGUAUCUAAUACUAAAAUGUGACUUGAUACAUCCGUAUCUAGACAAAUCUAAGACAAGAAUUUUGGGACGGAGGGAGUACUUU